GAUCCUGGCUCAGGAUGAACGCUAGCGGCAGGCCUAACACAUGCAAGUCGAGGGGCAGCAUAAACAAGCUUGCUUGUUUGGUGGCGACCGGCGCACGGGUGCGUAACGCGUAUGCAACCUACCCUGUACUGGGGGAUAGCCCGGAGAAAUUCGGAUUAAGACCCCAUAGCACUUAAGAAUGGCAUCAUUCAUAAGUUAAAGGUUACGGUACAGGAUGGGCAUGCGUCCCAUUAGCUAGAUGGUAAGGUAACGGCUUACCAUGGCAACGAUGGGUAGGGGGCCUGAGAGGGUGGUCCCCCACACUGGUACUGAGACACGGACCAGACUCCUACGGGAGGCAGCAGUGAGGAAUAUUGGUCAAUGGGCGCAAGCCUGAACCAGCCAUGCCGCGUGCAGGAAGACGGUCCUAUGGAUUGUAAACUGCUUUUAUUUGGGAAUAAACCUAUUUACGUGUAGAUAGCUGAAGGUACCAAAUGAAUAAGCACCGGCUAACUCCGUG
rnacentral:rRNA from 1 species